UACGUAGGGGGCAAGCGUUGUCCGGAUUUAUUGGGCGUAAAGAGCGUGUAGGCGGUUUGGUAGGUCCGUUGUGAAAACUCGAGGCUCAACCUCGAGACGUCGGCAGAAACCCUCUGGCUAGAGUCCGGAAGAGGAGAGUGGAAUUCCUGGUGUAGCGGUGAAAUGCGCAGAUAUCAGGAAGAACACCCGUGGCGAAGGCGGCUCUCUGGGACGGUACUGACGCUGAGACGCGAAAGCGUGGGGAGCGAACAGG
rnacentral:rRNA from 1 species